rnacentral:rRNA from 1 species
GAUGAACGCUGGCGGCGUGCUUAACACAUGCAAGUCGAACGAAGCACUUUAUUUGAUUUCCUUCGGGACUGAUUAUUUUGUGACUGAGUGGCGGACGGGUGAGUAACGCGUGGGUAACCUGCCUUGUACAGGGGGAUAACAGUUGGAAACGGCUGCUAAUACCGCAUAAGCGCACAGCAUCGCAUGAUGCAGUGUGAAAAACUCCGGUGGUAUAAGAUGGACCCGCGUUGGAUUAGCUAGUUGGUGAGGUAACGGCCCACCAAGGCGACGAUCCAUAGCCGACCUGAGAGGGUGACCGGCCACAUUGGGACUGAGACACGGCCCAAACUCCUACGGGAGGCAGCAGUGGGGAAUAUUGCACAAUGGGCGAAAGCCUGAUGCAGCGACGCCGCGUGAGCGAAGAAGUAUUUCGGUAUGUAAAGCUCUAUCAGCAGGGAAGAUAAUGACGGUACCUGACUAAGAAGCACCGGCUAAAUACGUGCCAGCAGCCGCGGUAAUACGUAUGGUGCAAGCGUUAUCCGGAUUUACUGGGUGUAAAGGGAGCGCAGGCGGUGCGGCAAGUCUGAUGUGAAAGCCCGGGGCUCAACCCCGGUACUGCAUUGGAAACUGUCGUACUAGAGUGUCGGAGGGGUAAGCGGAAUUCCUAGUGUAGCGGUGAAAUGCGUAGAUAUUAGGAGGAACACCAGUGGCGAAGGCGGCUUACUGGACGAUAACUGACGCUGAGGCUCGAAAGCGUGGNGACCCUUUAAAAGGUUCCAUNNCCCUNNNUANUCCNCNCCNUNNNCGCCCCAUAAGGGGUGUUGGGAAGCAUUGCUUUUCGGUGCCGUCGCAAACGCAGUAAGUAUUCCACCUGGGAAGUACGUUCGCAAGAAAGAAACUCAAAGGAAUUGACGGGGACCCGCACAAGCGGUGGAGCAUGUGGUUUAAUUCGAAGCAACGCGAAGAACCUUACCAAGUCUUGACAUCCUUCUGACCGGUACUUAACCGUACCUUCUCUUCGGAGCAGGAGUGACAGGUGGUGCAUGGUUGUCGUCAGCUCGUGUCGUGAGAUGUUGGGUUAAGUCCCGCAACGAGCGCAACCCUUAUCUUUAGUAGCCAGCGGUUCGGCCGGGCACUCUAGAGAGACUGCCAGGGAUAACCUGGAGGAAGGCGGGGAUGACGUCAAAUCAUCAUGCCCCCUAUGACUUGGGCUACACACGUGCUACAAUGGCGUAAACAAAGGGAAGCAAAGCUGUGAAGCCGAGCAAAUCUCAAAAAUAACGUCUCAGUUCGGACUGUAGUCUGCAACCCGACUACACGAAGCUGGAAUCGCUAGUAAUCGCAGAUCAGAAUGCUGCGGU